CACGGCCCGGGGGUGACACCCGAGAAGGGCCGGGAGAGCCGGGCGGGUCCGGGAGGGGCUCGGCCGAGGGAGGCGAGCCGGCCCUGGAGCGGCAGCGGCGGCGCUGGCAGCCUGGCCCGUGUCCCUGCCAGGGAAAGGAUUCGGCUGCUGGACCUGAAAGAGCGCUGGGAGCGGAGCUGGGGGGCAGCAGGGAUGACUCCUGCCAAGGAAGAAGAUGUGUGCAGCCAUGUCAAAGUGGUGGUGCGAGUGCGCCCAGAGAGCCAGAAGGAAAAGCAGGGCAGCUUCAGCAGGGUGGUCCGUGUCAUCGACCAGCACGUGCUGGUCUUUGAUCCUGAGGAGGAGGAAGUCACCCCCAAGCACAGCUUUAACAGGAUUGCACCCUUACACAUGAGGACCUGAAAGAACCAUCCAAUUCCUUUCUCCUAAAAAGCUCCAAAAAUGUUGGUUGUGUAGGGGACAAUCUACACAACAUGUAGUUCAUUCUAAGGCUAUACUGGAAAAAUACAAUCUUUCUUUUUUAACUAGGAAAGAGCCAGUUUUAUAGUCAUAAUGACAGGGGAAACAGUACUGUCAAAGCAGGAAUAACAAAUGGAAUAUUUGCUAUUUCUUCGCUUUACUAUGAUUUCUUUACAUUACCACAGCCUGCCUUCAAAUGUCUCCAAAACUACAGGAACAACUUUGUGAAACCCCAACAUGUGAACUUGGUGUCUUCUGCAUACUUUCAAGGCCUCUCGUGUAUAUAUCUCAUCCAUCCAUCCAUCCAUCCAUCCAUCUUCCUCUUUUCCAGAGGAAAAAGGUUGUUUUUCUAUUCAGGUGAUAGAAGCCAGCACUCUACAUUCAGGAAUAUAAGAGAAGCCAUAACACAGAACUCAAUAAAUGCAGACAGAUUUUAAAGUAUUUUAAAGUUAUAGUAUUUCAUCACCUUGUAACUUUUUAAUGAUAAUAAUGUAAAUCAUUAGAAAAUUUAAAAAUUAAAGUUGUAAUUCUCUUUAACUGCAUAGAAA